rnacentral:rRNA from 1 species
CCUACGGGUGGCUGCAGUGAGGAAUAUUGGUCAAUGGACGAGAGUCUGAACCAGUCAAGUCGCGUGCAGGAUGACUGCCCUAUGGGUUGUAAACUUCUUUUAUACAGGGGUAAACCUAGACACGUGUGUCUUUCUGCAUGUACUUUAUGAAUAAGGAUCGGCUAACUCCGUGCCAGCAGCCGCGGUAAUACGGAGGAUCCGAGCGUUAUCCGGAUUUAUUGGGUUUAAAGGGAGCGUAGAUGGAUUGUUAAGUUAGUUGUGAAAGUUUGCGGCUCAACGGGAGAAUUGCAACUAAUACUGGUAGUCUAGAGUGCAGAUGCGGUAGGCGGAAUUCGUGGUGUAGCGGUGAAAUGCUUAGAUAUCACGCAGAACCCCGAUUGCGAAGGCAGCUUACUAAUCUGUGACUGACAUUGAGGCUCGAAAGUGUGGGUAGCAAACAGGAUUAGAUACCCCUGUAGUC